GCCUGGGUGGCACAGUGGUUGAGCAUCUGCCUUCGGCUCAGGGCGUGAUCCCCGUGUUGUGGGAUCGAUCCCCACAUCAGGCU
rnacentral:tRNA from 1 species